UGCUCGAAUGGCCUCCAUGAAGUUUGUAGUUGUCUAAAAAACACUAUUUUGCUCAAAAGGUUGUUUUUUUUUACCCUUAAAUGUGUAUACAUUACUGUACUUAUACUUGGGAUAUUGUUUCUCAACAGGAGAAGUUCCAAAAAAGCGGGAGUUAAUUUUUAAUGGAGACAUUUGGCACUAGAUCCAUUUCAUACUAAAUGGUCUAUUUCACAGUAGGUGUUCCCAGUCCACUAUGGCCCUCGGUAUGACACAGCGCUGCAGACACUGGUGUGGGAGUUCCUCUACAGACUGGAGGAGCUGCUGCCUGUACCAGACCUCACGCAGACAACAGCAUGGCUCAGUGCUGCCCCCUCUGUCCUGGAGGAAUGUGGACAGACUGUCUUUGACCCUGAACAACUGAAGACAGUGCUGCAGCACCAUCAGCGUCAUGGAAACCUGAACAAGAGUCAUGUCUCUAAAUACACUGCAGAUACCAUCCUGUCCACACUGUCCCUCCCUCCAAAAAUGAGAGUUGUUAUUAACUAUGAGCCAGACAACUCUGACAAUGGGAGGCAAUACUCAGAUGAAUGCAUAGAUAAUGGGGUCUGUGAAAAUGAAGACCACAAUGAAAUCCUGGAUGAAAGCACUGAUAGAUGUUGGGAGGAUCUAGGACUGUCAACAUCAGAGCAACAGGAGGGUCUGCCACCUGCAGAGACCUCAGUGUUGGUUACUCCAGUACCCUGUGAUGGUAAGGAAAAUAAAAA